GAAAUAUUGAACAAAACCAUAACACUGCUCACGCCUUUUGUCUCGCUCUACGUUUCUAUCCUGGUUCACGCCACCAUCACCGAUUCACCACCAUGACAAGCACCAUUCCAGAAAAGAAAAAAAGAAAGAAAACUCACAUCUCAAUAAUUCCAACAAUACCAAAAUUAUGCUCUUUAGAGAAAAUCAAUUUCUUAAUUUCGGUUCCUUGAUAUUGUUCAGUACAAAGAUUUUUAGAGAUAGUUAAAAGUUUAAAUGGCGAUCUUUCCACGGAAGAGCCAAAGACUUGUACCGAUGACAGCUGAGUUUUUUUUCAUUUCUGAAGUUUUUUUUAAUGCUGAGAUUAUAUUUGGAUCUAGAUUCUGAUUCGUCCUAUGAUGUUUAAAGGUUGGCGACGGAAAGGAAACCGCUAGUGGGUUGACCUUACCAUGUUCUUAUUCUAUUGAGGGAUCCUCCUAAUUUAUUUUCCAGACAACCAUCAGUGAGAACAAAGCUGUUCAUGGAUGUCGUGAACUUCAACAAUUUUAUCAGGAGUUCGAAGUUACCUGAAAGCAUGCAAGUUAUAUGUAAUGAGAUGAGCUAAGAUUAGUGACUACUGCUUGUGCCCCUAAAUUUGUCUCCCUUUUCCAUGUUACGAUUGUCUGCGCUUUUUGAUGGUUCUCAUAUCCUGGAUAGAUGACUUGAAAACACAAUAUCCAUAUUGUUUUCAACCAAAAGGUUAUGUCCAAUGCAGAUGUGGGUUUCCACAUUGAAGAUGUGGCAAAUGAAUUGCACAUGGUGGAGAGCUAAUAUAGCGAUUGCUCAUAUAUCUCUUGGUGCAGGAUAUAUGUGACACUUUGUCCAAACCAAAUCUGUUAAGCAAUAUGUUAGCUAUUUUAUGCAUCAGAUCUUUAAGUUACUAAGGAUGCCCCAUCGCGUCUCUAUGUAUUCAAAUUUUGGACAGUCAUUCCUCCUGCUUUUCAAAGGAAGCCACCUACAGGCUACAACUGAAGAAGAUUUAUGUCACGUGUUUGUCGUGCUGCCACUUGAUGUACUCAUGUAAUUUAUUUAUAUUGUGUGUAGUCGUUCUAUAAUGAUUUUUUA